CAAAUUUGGGGGUAUUUGGUAACUAGUAAGAUCACUAUCAGUACUAUCGCGCACUACUUACUUCUGUUGGAACGAGAGCCCCUCUCUCUGCGACUCUGCUUCGGUUCUUCCUUCAGUUCACCAGCUGCAGACAAUGGCAGACAAGAAGCGGAAGGAGAGGAAUGAAGGCAACCGCCAAAGACCGAAGUCGAAGAAGAAGCGGCCAAACACUCAACAGAAGGAGAGGGGCCCUUGUUUGCCCUCAUCUUUGCAAAAACAGCUUGACUGUUUAAACCCUACCACUUCCUUUGACAGCAUUGAUUCUGACGACUACAAUGACAAUGAUGUACACGAGUACAAGGAAGAACGAGCUGAGGAGGUGUCCACCAAGAAUAAGCGUUACAACCCUGGUUUUGUCGUCCAGGAUGACCUUUCUCAUCAAUUUGAGGAUGAGAAUGCGUAAUCUGAUGUUGAAAGUGAGGAUGAUGAUUACUCGAAUGAAAAUGCUCUUAGUGACGAUUCUGGAGAGGAAGAUGAUGGAAGGCACACAAGGAUGCUACAAGCAAUUACUAGCAUGCCAAGUGAGGCUUUUCAAGUAGCUUAACAUGGACCUUGAAGCUGCAAAAGAAUGUUCCAUGAAACGCGAGCGCCAAAGGGCUGAGGACGCAUGACGCCAACCUCCUUUCUCUUUUUGCCGCAAAACUAUCCCAACCUAUCUUCCUCACCUCCAUAACCACCACUCCACCAAACAUCACAACCCUCAAGUGAAGCGCCCAACACUAGCCCAAUAAGAUGAAGGUGACUUGCGAUGAGUGAAGAUUUGACCCAAAAAUUGCCCUUUCCCCCUCGAAUCUACUGCAGAAGUGAAGAUUUGAAGAGGUACCUCGUGCGAUUAUGGCAUGGCAUGGCAGUGCCAGAGUGGUGGCAUCGGCAAGUGUAUGUUCUAAGAAGGAUCUGAAAUUUUUAUUUUUAUUUUUGUUAAAUUUGAUUCUCAAGUUCUCAUCUUUUUACUGUUUUUGUACUGUUUUUGAUAGUUUAUAAGAUAGUGAUUUUGUUUUGAUGAGGUUCUCUUGGAUCUUGUUUUAUGUUUUUUCCCAGGGAGAAAUUUCUAUGGAUUGUUAGUGUUGAAGGUCAUGUUUUUUAUGAUUGUUUAGUAGUCUUGAAGUGUUCUUGAAAGAAUUUUCUUUUUUGUGUUUUGAAAUUUCAGAAACUGUUUGAGGUGUGUUCUUGUAAUGGUGUUAUUGAAAGCAAAUGUCUAAGAAGAUGAUGAGGGUAUUUUGGAACAAAAAUUUCAUUAAAUCACUUGUGCACAACACAUGAUGUGCUAAAAUAAAUGGAACAGGGGUAGAUGUGUAAUGGAAUUGAAAACUUAAGGGGAUUUUGUGUAGGGGUUCAACAAUGAGUGAGUGAGUGUAAUAAGUCUUAACAAUGAGUGAGUGUGAGUGUAAUAAGUCUUAAACUGGGGAGAUAAGUAUAAUUUGCUCAAAGAUUAAUGGACAAGAGUUUUGGUUCUGAUCCAAUUCUAGAAAUAUUCUCAGUUUUCAAUCCUUGGGAAAGUCAAUAAACUUUGCCAGGUUAAAGAAAAUUUCCAAGAUACAAGAAAAAAGAGGUGGAGAAUUUACCAGGCAAGGAAGGCUGAAGCUUAUGGCAUGCAAGAAAGGGAAGAAAAUAGAACUCAAGUCCAAAAAAAGUUUUCUUUUUGGGGGGCUUCCUCUUGUGUAUUAUCAGUGUCAAGUUGAAUUGCUGUUGAUUAUUAUUUUCACACUUAA